GAUGAAGAACGUAGCGAAAUGCGAUACUUGGUGUGAAUUGCAGAAUCCCGUGAACCAUCGAGUCUUUGAACGCAAGUUGCGCCCGAAGCCACUAGGCCGAGGGCACGCCUGCCUGGGCGUCACACGCCGUUGCCCCCCCAACUACUCCUUCGGGAUUGCGGGGGGGCGGAUGAUGGCCUCCCGUGCGCCUAGCCGCGCGGUUGGCAUAAAUACCAAGUCCUCGGCGACGCACGCCACGACAAUCGGUGGUUGCGAAACCUCGGUUGCCCGUCGUGUGCGUUCGUCGCGCAUCGAGGGCUCGAAAAAAUGCUCGGCUCCGGCUGGGCUUUCAACGCGACCCCAGGUCAGGCGGGGUUACCCGCUGAAUUUAAGCAUAUCAAUAAGCGGAGGA
rnacentral:misc_RNA from 1 species